rnacentral:tRNA from 1 species
AGGAGUGUAGCUCAGUUUGGUAGAGCAGCGGUCUCCAAAACCGCCGGUCGGGGGUUCGAGUCCCUCCACUCCUGCCC